rnacentral:rRNA from 1 species
GAUGAACGCUGGCGGCGUGCCUAAUACAUGCAAGUCGAGCGAACGGACGAGAAGCUUGCUUCUCUGAUGUUAGCGGCGGACGGGUGAGUAACACGUGGAUAACCUACCUAUAAGACUGAGAUAACUUCGGGAAACCGGAGCUAAUACCGGAUGAUAUUUUGAACGGCAUGGUUCAACAGUGAAAGACGGUCUUGCUGUCCCUUAUAGAUGGAUCCGCGCUGCAUUAGCUAGUUGGUAAGGUCACGGCUUACCAAGGCGACGAUGCAUAGCCGACCUGAGAGGAUGAUCGGCCACACUGGAACUGAGACACGGUCCAGACUCCUACGGGAGGCAGCAGUAGGGAAUCUUCCGCAAUGGGCGAAAGCCUGACGGAGCAACGCCGCGUGAGUGAUGAAGGUCUUCGGAUCGUAAAACUCUUUUAUUAGGGAGGAACAGAUGUGUAAGUAUCUCUUCACAUCUUGACGUUACCUAAUCAGAAAGCCACGGCUAACUACGUG